UUCAGAGCACUCAAUGUCGGAACGUUCCGAAGAUGACGUCGGAGCGUUCUCGAAUCCCGUGUCUCUCGGCUGCUGCUGCCGAAGGAACAGGGAAAAAGCAACAAGAAGGAAGAGCAAUGGCGACACUGGAUCGCAAAGUGCCCAGUCCGGAGGCGUUUCUGGGCAAGCCCUGGUCCUCCUGGAUCGACGCCGCCAAAUUACACUGCUCCGACAAUGUAGAUUUAGAAGAGGCUGGAAAAGAGGGUGGAAAAAGCAGGGAGGUUAUGAGGCUUAAUAAAGAAGAUAUGCACUUAUUCGGCCACUACCCCGCACACGACGACUUCUACCUCGUGGUGUGCAGCGCCUGCAAUCAGGCCGUCAAGCCACAGGUGUUCCAGGCGCACUGCGAGAGAAGACACGGUUCAAUGUGUAGACCUUCUCCCUCGCCAGCAUCUCCACCCUCCAAUUCCAGGACGUCAUUAGUACAGGUGAAAACAAAAGCCUGUCUCAGCGGCCAGAACUCUGCCAGCAGCACCUCAAAGCCAUUCAAAACGCCCAAAGACAAUCUACUUACCUCCAGCAGCAAACAGCACACGGUCUUUUCUGCAAAAGGAUCAAGGGACAAACCAUGCGUUCCGGUUCCUGUAGUCAGUUUAGAGAAAAUUCCUAACCUAGUGAAGGCAGAUGGUGCCAAUGUCAAAAUGAACUCUGCAACCACUACCGCGGUCACCUCCUGCUCCUCCUCAUCCUCUGCCGUCUCCACCCCACCUUUAAUUAAGCCAGUCUUGAUGUCCAAGCCAGUGCCACCUUCCCCAGAGAAGAUCUUAAAUGGCAAAGGAAUUUUGUCUGCCACAAUAGACAAGAAACACCAAAAUGGCACCAAAAACAACAACAAGCCUUACAGGAGACUUUCAGAGAGAGAAUUUGACCCAAAUAAACACUGUGGAGUAUUGGAUCCCGAGACAAAGAAACCUUGCACAAGAUCCCUCACCUGCAAGACGCACUCGCUAAGCCAUCGGAGGGCAGUCCCAGGCCGGAAAAAGCAAUUUGACCUCCUUCUGGCAGAACACAAAGCCAAGUCCCGGGAAAAAGAAGUUAAAGAUAAAGAGCAUCUCCUGACUUCGGCAAGGGAAGUACUUCCUAACCAACCUGGGCCGGCGCAGGACUCUCUGCCAGGACCUUCAGGGAGCUCUGGGCCAGAACCGAAAGUCGCAUCCCCUGCCAAAUCCAGGCCACCUAACUCUGUGCUUCCUAGACCAUCAUCUGCAAAUAGCAUCAGCAGCAGCACAUCUUCAAACCACAGUGGCUACACCCCGGAACCUCCCCUGCCCCCAGCUGGAGGUGACCUCACCAGCCGACUGUCGAGUGAUGAAGGGGAGAUGGACGGUGCUGACGAACCCGAGAAGUUAGACUGUCAUUUCUCUACCCACCACCCCAGACCUCUUGCGUUUUGCUCAUUCGGGAGUCGCCUCAUGGGACGCGGGUACUAUGUGUUUGAUAGAAGAUGGGAUCGUUUUCGAUUCGCACUAAACUCCAUGGUAGAAAAACACUUGAAUUCACAGAUGUGGAAGCACAGAAACCCGAGCCCCAGGGCGUCAGGUCCCUCCCCCCUUUUCAGGACUUGCCUAACCAAUCUGCUGUCACUGAGCAACAUUGGGGCUGCCUGGGUGUCAACUCUGGAGAGCGUAGCGCCCCGCUGCCCUCUCAGCCUCGCUGCCCAAACCCCAGGCCCCGACGGGCCCGAACCUGGAGGGAUGGCAGCCGAUGGGGGCGUGGAAGACAUUAGGAAGAAAAGGAACGGCCAAGACUCUUUUUUCUUUAACAAGCAUUUAACUCUGCAUCAGGAGACGCCAACACAGUAUUCUCUUGCAGCCAGGAAGAUCCCUCCUGCGGCAGAUAGCCCCAUGCCCUCGCCAGCAGCCCACAUCACCACCCCCGUUCCAGCAUCCGUUUCACAGCCUUUCAACAACCCCAGUGCUGUGUAUCUUCCUUCAGCUCCCAUCAGCUCGAGACUCACCUCUUCUUACAUAAUGACAUCAGCCAUGCUCUCAAACGCAGCUUUUGUGGCGUCGCCGGACCCGAGCGCCCUCAUGUCACACACCACAGCUUUCCCCCAUGUGGCCGCAACCCUCAGCAUCAUGGACUCAACCUUCAAGGCCCCAUCCGCCGUGUCCCCGAUACCAGCUGUCACCCCUUCCCCAUCCCACAAGCCAUCCAAAACCAAAACCAGCAAAUCCUCAAAAGUCAAAGACCUGUCUGCCCGUAGCGACGAGUCUCCAAGUAACAAAAAGAGGAAGCCGCAGCCUUCGACUUCCUCCUCCUCCUCCUCCUCCUCAUUAACCUUGCAGACAUCCCUCUCGUCUCCAUUAUCAGGGCCCCACAAAAAGAACUGUGUCUUGAAUGCCAGUUCAGCUUUGAACUCCUAUCAGGCGGCCCCCCCCUAUAACAGUCUGUCUGUGCACAACUCAAACAAUGGGGUGAGCCCCCUCAGUGCCAAACUGGAGCCCUCAGGACGGACCUCGCUGCCCGGCGGCCCCGCGGACAUAGUGAGACACGUGGGCUCGGUGGGCGGCAGCAGUGACUCCUGUCCCCUCUCUGUGCCCUCCCUUGCAGGGGACCUCUCUCUGGCCUCACACAAUGCCGUCUCUUCGCUGCCCCUCUCUUUUGACAAAUCAGAAGGAAAAAAGCGUAAGAACUCGAGUUCUAGUAGCAAAGCCUGUAAAAUCACUAAAAUGCCUGGUAUGAAUAGCGUUCACAAAAAGAACCCGCCCAGCCUUCUCGCUCCGGUGCCCGAUCCCGCUAACAGCACCUCCUCUCGGCAGGUCGGGAAAAAUAGCAGCCUAGCUUUGUCACAAUCCAGUCCUUCAAGCAUCUCCAGCCCAGGACACAGCCGACCGAAGACCACAAACAGAACGGGCAGGAUAAGGACUCUUCCAUAACAAGACUGUGAAGCCACUUCCAAACCAAUGCCUGGCCACCCGAGGCCCAGGCGGGAGGAGGAGGAGGAGGAGGGAGGGGAGUGCGCAGCCGGGGCGAGGCUUUCCUGGGCCGUGCCUGUGGCUCUGGCCUUUCUUCUUCCUUUUAGUUUAUUUUAUUUUAUUACUAUUAUUAUUUUUUUUUUUUUUGCAAUUGACCAGUUUUUAGUUUUUGAAGAAAAAAAAAAAAAAACAAGGCAAAAGAACGUGAAUUUCAGAUUUACAGAAAACAAUACCAGUGUUUUGUUUCGGUUCUUUCAUUGGCCAUGUGUAUACGUUCUUCCAAGUUUGGGGUCGCCCCUCUAGCUUCCGAUGCUGCUACCGCACCGUCCUUGCGCUCCAGCCCCGAGAGCCGACGUUGCACAACGUUGCACAAUGUCAGCUCCCGCUCGGCAUCGUCUGAAACUCUUGAACUUGAGCACGCGCAGUGCUCCUCCCCUUGACCUCGCCCACCCGUCCACCCCUUGCCCCUCCCCGCUGCUCCCGGGUCCCCCCACCCCGACCCAAAUCGGCUCCCCCAGGUCUGUGCACUGCACCAGCGCUGCGGGAGCCACACGCUCUGGGCAAAGCCGGGAGGAGCGGCCAGUGGACCGUGUCGUUGAGCCAAUACCACUGUCCAGCUGUGCAGCUCAGAGAGGAUCUGCUGGGUCAGGGACGGGCCGGAUGGGCCUGGAAGGUGACAAGAAGCAGAGCAUAUGCGUAGGGGAAGGUAGCCCUCAAAAAGACAGGUAACUGGGUGACUGCUGACCUGAGCUUGUUAGGAAUCCAUGCUCUGCAGAACCUUCCAGGGUGCCAGGGACAAGCGCGCCAAAGCUAGGGGGACCCAAGAAGGAGAAAUCCCAGGAAGAAGGGCACGGGAACCCCAGGAAGCCACUCAGGAGGGGGCACGGUGCCCUCAGCGGUGGCAGUUCUCAGGCUGCCCUCCGGGGCUAGGCAGGAGGAGAAAGAGCAGUGCUGGGGGUGCAGGAAGCAUCCGGGGCAAGCUUCCACGAGGGUCGAGUAGCAAACACCUGGUGAGAAUAAAUCCGAGCACUGCCCACCCGCCUCGGGGUCCCAGGCUCCAGGGUCCCGUGCAACGGGCACACCCGUAGAUGAGCUUGCACUAGGCUCUUCCAAGCCCCAACUCAGAUGCAGCCACCCCGGGGGGGGGGGGGGGGUGCAGCAAGCCCAGCUCCCCCGAGUGGAGAAGAGCUAUUUGGAAGAGCGGGAGAGAAGCUAGAGCCCUACGGCUAUAACACUGUCCACACUGGAGUUUUGAAAGAAAUAGCAAUACCACAAGCUGCGCUAGGGACCGGUAAUCGGGAAAGGAAUUGACCACGUGAACUAGGCAUCCUGUGCUAUUAACCAUGAAAUUUUGCAGACGAUGUGAUAGCAGGAGAUACUAGGAAGUUUUGCUUCAUCCCCAAUUCCGAAGUGAAUGCCAGUUUUGCAGCUGGGCCCAAACCCUCAUCCCUACCCUAAAGUUUCCCUCUCUUCCUUCCCAUCCCCACAACCCAAAGAUCAGACUACUGUUACGUUUCACCACAUUGGAUUUUGCGAAGACGGGAGGCAAAUGGAGUGAUUUGUAUCAAUGGAAUUGCACUGACCAUGUUUCUUAUAGGAUUCCUAAAAUUUUUAAUAUAAAAUGAAGAUUUUUUUAAAAAUCAGGAGUUGAUAUUAGGUACCAGGACCUUAGUUCAGAUGAUUUCAUUUUUAUUUCUACAGUGUUAAAAGUGCACUUAUAUGCUGGUUUAUUUACGUCUUGGGAAAAAGAGACUACAAAUUGAAGGGAAGAUGGUUACUUUUUCUUUUUUUAAAAAAAAAAGUUAAGGCAGAUUUUAAGACUUAUAAAAUGUUUAAGAAAUUAUAAACAGGUUAGACCCUUUGGAAAAAAAAGUUUAGAAGAUAUUCUUAAAGUAAAUUUUUAUAGUGUUAAUUUUGUAAUAAUUUAUGUUUUACUAUAUUACAGAGCUAACUGACCAGAAUAGUUUCAGAAACAAUAUGAAACGUAGGAAAGUUUAAGCAAUGUUUAUAUUUUUAAAAUGUUCUUUGAAUUAUGUUUUUAUUGUACAUUUCUUCAGACUGAAAAGUAUGUACAUAUCUUUGUUAUUUUUGCACAAUUUUUGUCCUGUUCGGUUUUAGAAGUCUGUUGUGUUUUUUUUUUUUAUAAUUUAUUUUAAGUUGUAAAACUUGCAGGAGUAAAAAAACAAAAAAAAAAAAAUCUCAGCAACAAAAUAACCCUCUGAUUUAUAAACUCUUUCACUCAGAGAGGGAAAACAAAGGUUGAGAGAUUAAGUGGCUGCUUCUGAGAAAAAAAUGUCUCGACAGGGACGAAAGGAGCAAUUCAAUAGGCUUAAACAUUUUAGCUGUCUACAUCUUGAAUUGCAGCUGGAAUAAAGAGGCUCCCCACCGAAUGCUGCUUACUUGAUGAAAGACUGGCUCUGACCAAGUGUUCCCACCUGAUGAGCCUUCCUGCUAGAACACACAUUUGAUAGAUCGAAGAGAGUGAGUUCGUUCAACAAAUAUUUAUGGAGCAUCUUGUCGUGGCUGCCCCUGAGCUAGGCGCUCUGUGCUCAGUGGUGAGAAACAGACACAGUCCCAGCUGCUCUCUGGAAGCAACCCAGUGGGGAAGACACUAAAUAAAUAAACACACGAUCAAAUGUGUAAUUACAGAUUGUAGCGAAUGCUGUGGUGGAGAGAAUUGAAUUCUGUGAGAAAAGAAAAGGAGAAGCCGACAUAAAACGGGUGAUGGUGGGGUGCUAUCUGGGAGUCCCCUCUGAGGAAGUGGGCUGAAGGCACAGUGGGAGGGAGCGAAUCCCAGGCAGAGCUGGUCCAAGGUAAAAGCCUAUAAGUUCUUAGAGCCUGAGGAAGAUCCACUGAGGGCCACACAGGGGGAGAAAGAUGAACAGAAGUCAGGGCAAGGUCACAAAAGGCCUCACAGAGUUUGGAUUUCAUGCUCAGUUCAGUGGGAAUCCUUUGAAAGACUUUAAGUAGGGUCGUAGCAUGGCGGAGAAUCACUUGGAAGCUCUUUCAAGAGACCAGGUGAGAUGUAAUGUGUGCUCCCAAGAUGAUGAUGGUAGAGAUAAAGAGAAGCGAAUAGAAUCAAGGUAUAUUAAAUUGACAAGACUUGCUUAGGAAUCGGAUCCGAGAAUAGGGAAAAGAUUGUGUUAGGUAGCGAUGCCUGCCAUUUCGUCAGAUGUGGAAACCAGAGGAGGAAUGAGUUUUUUAGGAGGGGUGUUUGGUGGAGCCCAGAAGUCCUGUUUUGUGCACGUGUGUUGGCUCAUAACUGGGAUCACUGGAACACUAAAGCUGCUGUGCCAAUACCCAUGGCAUACUCAUGACUGAAACCAUCAGCAGCCCUAAGUUGGAGGCACCAGUUUGGGAACUGUUAGUAUAUGAAUGAAAUUUAGAGCCACAAAAAAAAAAAAAAAAAAGAAAGAAAAGAAAUUUAGAGCCACAAGCACGAGUGGGA